AUACGGAGGAUCCGAGCGUUAUCCGGAUUUAUUGGGUUUAAGGGUGCGCAGGCGGCCAUUUAAGUUAGCGGUUAAAUCGUGGGGCUCAACCCCAUUCUGCCGUUGAUGCAGGGUGGCUUGAUUGCGGUCGAGGUUGGCGGAAUUCGUUGUGUAGCGGUGAAAUGCAUAGAUAUGACGAAGAACACCGAUUGCGUAGGCAGCUGACCAGACCGCAAAUGACGCUCAUGCACGAAAGUGCGGGGAUCGAACAGGAUUAGAUACCCUGGUAGUCCGCACAGUAAACGAUGAAUACUUGUUUUCGGCGAUAUAAUGUCGGAGGCAAAGCGAAAGCGAUAAGUAUUCCACCUGGGGAGUACGCCGGCAACGGUGAAACUUAAAGGAAUUGACGGGG
rnacentral:rRNA from 1 species